UGGGGCGUGGCCAAGUGGUAAGGCAGCGGACUUUGGAUCCGCCACCGUAGGUUCGAAUCCUACCGCCCCAGCCA
rnacentral:tRNA from 1 species